rnacentral:rRNA from 1 species
AUUGAACGCUGGCGGCAUGCUUUACACAUGCAAGUCGAACGGUAACAGGGUGCUUGCACCGCUGACGAGUGGCGAACGGGUGAGUAAUGCGUCGGAACGUGCCGAGUAGUGGGGGAUAACGCAGCGAAAGUUGUGCUAAUACCGCAUACGUACUGAGGUAGAAAGUGGGGGACCUUCGGGCCUCACGCUAUUCGAGCGGCCGACGUCUGAUUAGCUAGUAGGUGAGGUAAAGGCUCACCUAGGCGACGAUCAGUAGCGGGUCUGAGAGGAUGAUCGGCCCCACUGGGACUGAGACACGGCCCAGACUCCUACGGGAGGCAGCAGUGGGGAAUUUUGGACAAUGGGCGAAAGCCUGAUCCAGCCAUGCCGCGUGUGUGAAGAAGGCCUUAUGGUUGUAAAGCACUUUAAGCGAGGAGGAGGCUACUGAGACUAAUACUCUUGGAUAGUGGACGUUACUCGCAGAAUAAGCACCGGCUAACUCUGUGCCAGCCGCCGCCGUAA